UGUGCAAAUGAUGACAAAAUAGACAGGGACAUCAGCACCCUCAGGAGAUUGAUGACUUCAUCUAUUCGGAAUCUCUCUGAUGCACU